CAGUCGCCGCGGUAAUGCGUAGGUGGCAAGCGUUGUCCGGAAUUAUUGGGCGUAAAGCGCGCGCAGGCGGAUAGGUCAGUCUGUCUUAAAAGUUCGGGGCUUAACCCCGUGAUGAGAUGGAAACUGCCAAUCUAGAGUACCGGAGAGGAAAGUGGAAUUCCUAGUGUAGCGGGGAAAUGCGUAGAUAUUAGGAAGAACACCAGUGGCGAAGGCGACUUUCUGGACGAAAACUGACGCUGAGGCGCGAAAGCCAGGGGAGCGAACGGGAUUAGAUACCCCCGUAGUCCCUGUCUCUUAUACA
rnacentral:rRNA from 1 species